rnacentral:rRNA from 1 species
UACGUAGGGAGCAAGCGUUGUCCGGAAUCAUUGGGCGUAAAGCGCGCGUAGGCGGCCCCGUAAGUCCGCUGUGAAAGUCAAAGGCUCAACCUUUGAAAGCCGGUGGAUACUGUGGGGCUAGAGUCCGGAAGAGGCGAGUGGAAUUCCUGGUGUAGCGGUGGAAUGCGCAGAUAUCAGGAGGAACACCGAUGGCGAAGGCAGGUCUCUGGGCCAUAACUGACGCUGAGAAGCGAAAGCAUGGGGAGCGAACAGG